rnacentral:rRNA from 1 species
UUAUUGAUAUGCUUAAGUUCAGCGGGUAGUCCUACCUGAUUUGAGGUCAAGAAGUU